CCUACGGGAGGCAGCAAUGAGGCAUAUUGGUCAAUGGCCGGAAGGCUGAACCAGCCAUGCCGCGUGAAGGUCAGUGCCCUAUGGGCGUUAAACUUCUUUUGUGCGGGAGCAAUAAUGGUCACGUGUGGCCAGACGAGAGUACCGUACGAAUAAGCAUCGGCUAACUCCGUGCAAGCAGCCGCGGUAAUACGGGGGAUGCAAGCGUUAUCCGGAUUUAUUGGGUUUAAAGGGCGCGUAGGCUGUGAGGUAAGUCAGCGGUGAAAUUCCACCGCUCAACGGGGUGAAGUGCCAUUGAUACUGCCUUGCUGGAAUGCGGAUGCCGUGGGAGGAAUGUGUGGUGUAGCGGUGAAAUGCAUAGAUAUCACACAGAACACCGAUUGCGAAGGCAUCUCACGAAUCCGCGAUUGACGCUGAUGCACGAAAGCGUGGGUAUCAAACAGGAUUAGAUACCCCUGUAGUC
rnacentral:rRNA from 1 species